AUUUUUAAAUCAGUCAUUGACAAAAACAUACUUUAAAUCACUUAUUCACUUAGAUGUCUGCAUCCAUUUUUGAAAGAUGACUGAGCAGCUAUCCAGUCAGGCACAGCAAAGCAUCAGAUUCCUUUUUGGAAUCAUAGAAGCCAGUGGGAGACAAGAUUCGCUGCCGGCACGAACGAGAUUGGAGUAAGUAAAGAAAGGAGCGUCGGCUGCAUGAUCAAGGGGAACAGGAAUUAUUCCGGAAACCAUAAGCUGAAGAUGAUCGUCAAAACUUCACAGGAUUUAGCCCUGAGCUUCCCUGAGUGGGAAACUGAGACUCAGAAACAUCAAGCAACUUGGCCACCACCCCCGUCAUUAAAUGCCCGGUCUGAUUGAAAGCAGAGUUUUCCAAAGUGGCUAGUAUCCCUUGGCAUCUCCAUUUACAAGACCAGUGCUGCCGGUCACAGGAUGAAAAUCACCUCUUACUACUGACGGGAUGAUAUUAAAUAGGUGACAGUCAUUCCAGUUAAUUAAUUGUGUUGCCCCCUGCCCUUUCAUUUCAUAAUCAACCCUGUUAUCAGGGGCCAAGUGUCCUAGUGUCUCCUAUUUUAUUAAAAUCCUUGCUUCCUAUAUCUACAGAAUCUCUAUUGAGCUCUAGGAGAGGCCUCCAACAAGGGAGGAGUGAUGGAGUAGGAAGAGACAUCAUAUCUGGGUGCCACGAGCAUCUGUGUGAUUGAGUGAGACCUAAGUGAAACUGUCGGAAGCAGAGGUUCUCAAAGUGUGAUCCCACAGCAGCAGCAGCACCUGCUACCUGAUUAGAUAUGCAAUCCUCUGACCCUGUACAAGUGGGUAAAACUAUCCCAGACCUACGGAAUUAGAAACUGGAUGGGCCAGCAAUUUCAGGUUUAACCAGCAUUCCAGGUGACUCUGAUACAUGCUAAAGCGUGAUUACCGCUGGUUUAAGUUAAUAGUUUCCAACUGUGGCUGCACAUUGGCAUCACCUGGGAAGCUUUAAGAGCUACCAAUGCCCAGGUCUUACUCCAAAGAAUCUACUUUAUUGUUAUUAUUAUCUAGACAGGAUUUGCCCUGUCAC
rnacentral:lncRNA from 13 species